CCUGUAGGUUGGCACAUUCUAAAAGGAAAUGCUAGACCCCCUAGCUAUGGAGGGCAUGCAAAGGGGCCUGAGGAAAGAGCAACUUGGUGAGCAGCAAGCAGAAAAGCUAACCACGACUUCCUUCUGCACUUCAGCUUCCAAGAUUGAAGCAAGCCUGUCUAGAGGAAUGAGAGACGUUUGCAACCGAGUGCCUGCUCGUCCAGCUCACUCCAGGUACCAUGACCUUGUCGCAGCCUAUUCGCAGUCCAGAGAAACUGAAGGAAACUGAUUGCAUUAGCUCAGAUGAUCUUCCUUCAAAACAAGGCUGGAUCUUAUGUCAGAAUGAUUGCAGGAAAGAGGCCUGGCCGAAGAAGCAGAGAAGCUCUGGCUUCAGAAACGUUCAAGGUUUAAACGUUGACUCUAUCUCCGCAAGCCAAAGUGUCUGUUCUAAAAGAAGUCCAGCACCUUACAAUUUUUGCAACUGGUCAAAAGAAAGAGAGCUACCAUGCAGGAAUAAUUGGACCAUGCCUGGACAAGCACAAUGAGUUGGACGCAAGCCUUCAAUUCUAAUCUGGCAGCACACUUGUUGAUAAAUUGCAAAACGUCUCCUGGUUUCCAUGGAAAAAAAGGAAGGAUGAUGCUCAGCUGUGGAUAAUAUCAACAACGAUGGGAUGAACAAUUUUGAUGAAUGCAAACUGAAAGAAAAUGCAGCAUAUGAAAUUCACAUUUUGGUAUAUUUUUAUUUGCUAAGUCUUUUCAGCUUUAAUAAACACAUGUCAAGAUAUA